GUGAGGAAUUUUCCGCAAUGGGCGAAAGCCUGACGGAGCAAUGCCGCGUGAAGGAUGAAGGCCUAUGGGUUGUAAACUUCUUUUCUCAGAAAAGAAUUAUGACGGUAUCUGAGGAAUAAGCAUCGGCUAACUCUGUGCCAACAGCCGCGGUAAGACAGAGGAUGCAAGCGUUAUCCGGAAUGAUUGGGCGUAAAGCGUCUGUAGGUUGUUUAAAAAGUAUUCUGUCAAAGAUUAGGGCUUAACCCUAGAUAGGCAGAAUAAACUUUUAAGCUAGAGUUUGGUAGAGGCAGUGGGAAUUCCCGGUGGAGCGGUGAAAUGCGUAGAUAUCGGGAGGAACACCAAAGGCGAAGGCACUCUGCUGGGCCAAUACUAACACUGAGAGACGAAAGCGAGGGGAGCAAAUGGGAUUAGAUACCCUAGUAGUCC
rnacentral:rRNA from 1 species